rnacentral:rRNA from 1 species
UAUCCUAUGCGGAGGAAAAGAAACCAACUGGGAUUACCUUAGUAACGGCGAGUGAAGCGGUAAAAGCUCAAAUUUGAAAUCUGGUACUUUCAGUGCCCGAGUUGUAAUUUGUAGAAUUUGUCUUUGAUUAGGUCCUUGUCUAUGUUCCUUGGAACAGGACGUCAUAGAGGGUGAGAAUCCCGUUUGGCGAGGAUACCUUUUCUCUGUAAGACUUUUUCGAAGAGUCGAGUUGUUUGGGAAUGCAGCUCAAAGUGGGUGGUAAAUUCCAUCUAAAGCUAAAUAUUGGCGAGAGACCGAUAGCGAACAAGUACAGUGAUGGAAAGAUGAAAAGAACUUUGAAAAGAGAGUGAAAAAGUACGUGAAAUUGUUGAAAGGGAAGGGCAUUUGAUCAGACAUGGUGUUUUUUGCAUGCACUCGCCUCUCGUGGGCUUGGGCCUCUCAAAAAUUUCACUGGGCCAACAUCAAUUCUGGCAGCAGGAUAAAUCAUUAAGAAUGUAGCUACUUCGGUAGUGUUAUAGCUUUUUGGAAUACUGUUAGCCGGGAUUGAGGACUGCGCUUCGGCAAGGAUGUUGGCAUAAUGGUUAAAUGCCGCCCGUCUUAA